rnacentral:tRNA from 1 species
GGAAAGGUGGCAGAGUGGUCGAAUGCGCCGGACUCGAAAUCCGGUUUGCCGGUCUCCGGCAACGUGGGUUCGAAUCCCACCCUUUCCGCCA